CUGGGCCUCCUUCCUGUGAUAUAGGAGGGCGCUAUGGAAAAAAACAUGGAAGCAUUUCUGAGGAGAACACAGACCGAGGGAAAGGAAAUCCUCACAGUCAGUGUUUCUAUGGACCUCAGGGAUUCAUCACAAGCACCUUACUGGAUUGAUGCACCAGUUACAGAUGGAGAAAGUGAGGCAGAGAUGAAGUGACUUUUCAAGGAGACUAACCAAUCCUGAUCCCUCCCUAGUGUGAGAUUGGUCCUCUCAUAGACCAAACCAAUGCCUGGAAGUAGGGGACAGAGAAUCUUGGGGCAUGCUGGAGAAGGUAAUACCAACAUGUAGUCUUUUCAAAAUCCACAUUGAUAAAAAUAAAAGGAUUCCAUGAUAACCA
rnacentral:lncRNA from 1 species